GACGAACCGUACGAACGUUAUUCGGAAUCACUGGGCUUAAAGGGUGCGUAGGCGGCGCUGAAAGUUGGGUGUGAAAUCCCUCGGCUUAACCGAGGAACUGCGCCCAAAACUACAGUGCUUGAGGGAGAUAGAGGUGAGCGGAACUUAGGGUGGAGCGGUGAAAUGCGUUGAUAUCCUAAGGAACGCCAGGGGCGAAAGCGGCUCACUGGGUCUCUUCUGACGCUGAGGCACGAAAGCUAGGGUAGCGAAC
rnacentral:rRNA from 1 species